UAGAGUUUGAUCCUGGCUCAGAACGUACGCUGGCGGCACGCCUAACACAUGCAAGUCGAACGAAGUAGCAAUACUUAGUGGCAGACGGGUGAGUAACAUGUGGGUAUCUGCCCUUUGGCCUGGAAUAACACGAGGAAACUUGUGCUAAUACCGGAUAAGUCUUUACGGAGAAAGCUUUAUGCACCAUUGGAUGAGCCCGCACUUGAUUAGUUUGUUGGUAGGGUAAUGGCCUACCAAGACUGUGAUCAAUAGCUGAUUUGAGAGGAUGAUCAGCCACAUUGGGACUGAGACACGGCCCAAACUCCUACGGGAGGCAGCAGUGGGGAAUCUUGCACAAUGGAGGAAACUCUGAUGCAGCGAUGCCGCGUGAGUGAAGAAGGCCCUUGGGUUGUAAAGCUCUUUCGUCGGGGAAGAAAAUGACUGUACCCGAAUAAGAAGGUCCGGCUAACUUCGUGCCAGCAGCCGCGGUAAUACGAAGGGACCUAGCGUAGUUCGGAAUUACUGGGCUUAAAGAGUUCGUAGGUGGUUGAAAAAGUUGGUGGUGAAAUCCCAGAGCUUAACUCUGGAACUGCCAUCAAAACUUUUCAGCUAGAGUUUGAUAGAGGAAAGCAGAAUUUCUAGUGUAGAGGUGAAAUUCGUAGAUAUUAGAAAGAAUACCAAUUGCGAAGGCAGCUUUCUGGAUCAUUACUGACACUGAGGAACGAAAGCAUGGGUAGCGAAGAGGAUUAGAUACCCUCGUAGUCCAUGCCGUAAACGAUGUGUGUUAGACGUUGGAAAUUUAUUUUCAGUGUCGCAGCGAAAGCGAUAAACACACCGCCUGGGGAGUACGACCGCAAGGUUAAAACUCAAAUGAAUUGACGGGGACCCGCACAAGUAGUGGAGCAUGUGGUUUUAUUCGAAGAUACGCGCAGAACCUUACCAACACUUGACAUGUUCGUCGCGACUUUAAGAGAUUAAAGUUUUCGGUUCGGCCGGACGAAACACAGGUGCUGCAUGGCUGUCGUCAGCUCGUGUCGUGAGAUGUUGGGUUAAGUCCCGCAACGAGCGCAACCCUCACUUUUAGUUGCCAUCAUUAAGUUGGGCACUCUGAAAGAACUGCCAGUGAUAAGCUGGAGGAAGGUGGGGAUGACGUCAAGUCCUCAUGGCCCUUACGUGUUGGGCUACACACGUGCUACAAUGGUAUCUACAACAGGAAGCAAAACAGCGAUGUUAAGCAAAUCCUUAAAAGAUACCUCAGUUCGGAUUGCACUCUGCAACUCGAGUGCAUGAAGCUGGAAUUACUAGUAAUCGUGGAUCAGCGUGCCACGGUGAAUGCGUUCCCGGGUCUUGUACACACCGCCCGUCACACCAUGGGAGUUGGUUCUACCUUAAGGCAAGGUUUUAAACCCUUGACCACGGUAUAGUCAGCGACUGGGGUGAAGUCGUAACAAGGUAACCA
rnacentral:rRNA from 1 species